rnacentral:rRNA from 1 species
AUACAUGAGCAAAAUCUCAACUUUAUUAGAAGAGACGCAUUUAUUAGAUAAAAAGCCAAUGCAUGCUUUUACAGUAUGAAAAUUGGUGAUUUAUAAUAACUUAGCAAAUCGCAAAGUGAAAACAGGCGAUAAAUCAUUCAAGUUUCUGACCUAUCAGCUUUCGACGGUAUGGUAUUGGCUUACCGUGGCAGUGACGGUUAACGGGGGAUUAGGGUUCGAUUCCGGAGAGGGAGCCUGAGAAACGGCUACCACAUCUAAGGAAGGCAGCAGGCGCGCAAAUUACCCAAUUCUAACAGUUUGAGAGAGGUAGUAACAAGAAAUAACAAUACAAGGCAGUUAAAAUGCUUUGUAAUUGGAAUGAUAGAAAUUUAAACCCUUUUUAAAGUAUCAAUUGGAGGGCAAGUCUGGUGCCAGCAGCCGCGGUAAUUCCAGCUCCAAUAGCGUAUAUUAAAAUUGUUGCAGUUAAAAAGCUCGUAGUUGAAGUUCUGCUAAAAGUAACCGGUCUGCUUUUAAUAAAGGUGGUAUCUUGGUGUGUAUUUAGCAAUGAUGUCCUUUGAAGUGUUUUUUACUUUAUUGUAAUAAAGCAUAUUCAGGACUUUUACUUUGAGAAAAUUAGAGUGUUUCUAGCAGGCUAACGCUUUGAAUACUGCAGCAUGGAAUAAU